UAUUUUAUUCUUUUCUUCGGACGAUACUUUCUCAAUCCAUCAUUGACGACAAAGUAUACGAUAUAUGAUAUUUUCUUACAAUUUUAGGCUCGAAACGGUACAGAUUUAGCACUUUUUAACCACGUCCUUUCCCUACAAAUCCAUAAACAUCCGCUGCGUAAGGUACGUAAAGGUACUCGUUUACUCUAGAGUUAAACAAUCGUGAGUUGCUCUCGAGGGUGUUUCUCGCAAGUGGAUACCGCUUUGAGAGCGACUCUCAUUCUCUAUCCUAUCUGAUAGUGACUCGGAUAGUCGUGUUUCUCAACGUAGUGUUCACUUACGAGAAAUACUCUCGAGAGCACCUCGCGAUAGUUUUACUCUUGAGUGGACGCGUACCUCGACGAUUACCCUCUCGGUCCACCUUAGAUAGGAGAGAGGCGGAAAGCAAUGAGCGAGCGUGCGCUCGCGUGGCCGUGUGUGGGUCGAGAAACCGGAGUUAUUUAUGAAGUGUACCACGGGGAGAGGCACGACCGUGGGGCCGCCUAUCUGAUGCUCUUAUUUCGUUGUUUGCUCCCAAGCGCGUAAUACCGAGCUAGAAAAGCGCGACACGUGCGCUUGCUGCCCGUGCGUCGCGCGUCUUCCGCUCCGCCGUGUGCUCCGCCGAUACGCCACGUGGGUGAGCGUGUAGAAACCCGAUAGAGAGUUAGACUCUCCAGUUAGUGGAGAUAGUCGUGUCGAGGGAAUCGUCGCGAACAAUGUGAGCCUGUUCCAGGUUCGGGUGUUCCUAAGCGACCCCGAGAUUCCGAAGUGACACUGACCAGCUUCGUGAUGAAUUUCAACGCUGCCUUCGCUUCGGACCCUGUUUCUCGUGCCAUUAAUGAGCCAGUCAAUUCUUUGUAGGUGUGGUUCUAUCUGGGUUAGAGUUUGAGCACACAUUUCCAGUAAUUUGGCGGUGUUUGGAGUUGUGAGGAAUUUUGCAAGCUCCGAAAAAUUUUUCAGCUUCAUAUCAAACAUUUCCUCGAAACGUCAUAAAUUCUUUUUCUUUGUUAAAAUGAGAACGAGAUUGAAAUACAAAGAUUUGAGGAUCGUAGCAGGGUUAAAAUUCUUCUACCAAACAAGGAAAAAAAUUCACGACUAACUCGUCAUCGUGCCAUCAAACGUUAAUCCGUUCGCCAUAAUUACCAUCUAUCAGAACGUGACGUCUGCAUUAAGCCGAUGUCAAUGGCAAUUAAAAGUCUCUGGAAGCGAGGCUAUCAACGAGACGAUUAUUCAUCGGCCUUCGAAAGCGGUUACUUAUCCGAAACAAUUCGAGUAUACUACACAGAAACAAGAAAUUCGAGCUCUGUUCGAUUCUGAAAUCGCGUGUAUCAUGCCACUAGUAAGAUACGCAGAGAUGAACACACGAAGCGAAACGUGGCGAAUACGAGAGCCAAAUAAGCCGAAAGCACGCCAUUAGCGUAUGUAAAUAUCUCGUUCGGACAGGAAUCAAUUACCUUGGUCGUCCUCCUGCGAUCCUUGCGCCGUUCCAUGCAUAGCAAUGAAGUCAGAAGAUGAGGAACCAACGGAAAGCACCGGUCAAACGAUGGACAGGAAAACCACUUAAAGCGUAAUUGCGCGUAAAACGUUCGAUAAUUCCGCGAACUAUAGCGGGGGUGUGAACGCGAGGAUUUUAAUUUACCACCUUUAAAUUUCACGUAAUCGUCGUUGACAGUUAAUUCGAUGGAAGUAUUGUGCCGAAUGCAUUUUGGUACAGACAACGAAUGAUGAGUAGGCUGUGAAUGAUUCUGGAUUUACAUAGGUUAGAUACUGUGACAAGUGUAGAUAAAUACGUGAGCAUGCGUUAUCCCAGGCCAUAAAUCUUAGGACAUGUACAAAUAAUUGGAUGUUCAAAUUAAACGUCCUCCAUUGUUUUUAUUUUCUAGUCAUUUUAUCGUAAAUGUGUAAUUUCAUUCGCAUCGCUUGUGCCUUAUAACGCAGAGUAUUAAAUAAUACAACAUUUGUUAAUGUUUUUCAUUGAACGUAAGGAGUAUAUCCGAAUCCUCAACUUCAUAAAACAAUCCCUCCUCACAAACUUAAACGAAAAUAAAACGUUCGCCGAAGCUCGUCAUUAUCCAAUUUUACUAUCUCAAUCGUAGAAACGAAACUUUCGACAUUAAACGAACGCAGUAGCCUUUAUUUAAUAAAAUGUUGGAAUUGUAAGCACCGCCGUUGGAAAGCGUGUGCAGGCAACAGUGGCGAUAAACGAAAUCGCUGCGUAAAAGUUAUCGGCUUGGAGGGAGUCAGCGUUUCAAGGUGAGCCAUUUACGACGUAGAAACGAAAGUUUUAUCACUUUUCGUCAGAGUGCACCGUCGGAGAUCUUGAUUAACCGGCGGACAAGGGAGGAUUUUACGAGGUUUAGCCGGACGAUCGAAAUUCAACUCGGUAGUCCGUGGAUGAUGCUUAUUGGACCAGGUGCGAAUUAUGCUUGGAAAUUGCCUUCAGAACCGCGCCGUCCUCUCCCCACGGCCGCGAAAUUUGCGACGCUUUUACGAUCCAUUAAGCAGCUACCGAGUUAUUUAUUCUUUGCUACGAACGAGCACUGGCUAGCCACGAACGAGAGCUACGAAAAUAUUCUGCAAGCCGCGGGGAAAAUUCAACAACCCUUCUUCCACUCGAUCUUCCGAGAAAGUCUUUGAAAUCGGUCUACACUUCUUUGUCUUUGAAAUCGGUUUUAUUUCUUCGCUGAGAGGAAUGACGCUGAGGGUUGCAACGUUUCUGACUGCUUUAGUGGGAAAAGAUUAGGCUUCUUGGUAGAAGAUUAUAAUCUUUUAUUUUAGUCUUCUUAGGUAAAUUUAUAGCUGUUCCUUUUAGUGAAAAAUAUUAUUUGGAUAUUCGAGUAGAGUUUGUUAUUUUUUAUCUUUUGUUUUCUAUUACACUGAUGUGUCAUAAAUUGAACUGCAUCCUUAGAGAGAAUUUCUGAAAUCUAACAAUAAUUACCUGGUUCUUUGCCGAGAGAAGCGACGCAAAGGAUUCCAAUAUUUUUGACAGUUUUAGAACGGAAAUUGUUUAAAUGUAUUAUCGUUAUUGUAUUCUUACAAU